CUUGGGCGGCCUACACAUGCAGUCGAACGGUAACAGGAAGCAGCUUGCUGCUUCGCUGACGAGUGGCGGACGGGUGAGUAAUGUCUGGGAAACUGCCUGAUGGAGGGGGAUAACUACUGGAAACGGUAGCUAAUACCGCAUAACGUCGCAAGACCAAAGAGGGGGACCUUCGGGCCUCUUGCCAUCGGAUGUGCCCAGAUGGGAUUAGCUAGUAGGUGGGGUAACGGCUCACCUAGGCGACGAUCCCUAGCUGGUCUGAGAGGAUGACCAGCCACACUGGAACUGAGACACGGUCCAGACUCCUACGGGAGGCAGCAGUGGGGAAUAUUGCACAAUGGGCGCAAGCCUGAUG
rnacentral:rRNA from 1 species